rnacentral:rRNA from 1 species
UUCGGGUCUAGUGGCGCACGGGUGCGUAACGCGUGGGAAUCUGCCCUCUGGUACGGAAUAACUCAGGGAAACUUGAGCUAAUACCGUAUAAUGACUCCGGUCCAAAGAUUUAUCGCCUGAGGAUGAGCCCGCGUCGGAUUAGCUAGUUGGUGAGGUAAAAGCUCACCAAGGCGACGAUCCGUAGCUGGUCUGAGAGGAUGAUCAGCCACACUGGGACUGAGACACGGCCCAGACUCCUACGGGAGGCAGCAGUGGGGAAUAUUGGACAAUGGGCGAAAGCCUGAUCCAGCAAUGCCGCGUGAGUGAUGAAGGCCUUAGGGUUGUAAAGCUCUUUUACCCGGGAUGAUAAUGACAGUACCGGGAGAAUAAGCCCCGGCUAACUCCGUGCCAGCAGCCGCGGUAAUACGGAGGGGGCUAGCGUUGUUCGGAAUUACUGGGCGUAAAGCGCACGUAGGCGGCUUUGCAAGUUAGAGGUGAAAGCCCGGGGCUCAACUCCGGAAUUGCCUUUAAAACUGCAUCGCUAGAAUUGUGGAGAGGUAAGUGGAAUUCCGAGUGUAGAGGUGAAAUUCGUAGAUAUUCGGAAGAACACCAGUGGCGAAGGCGACUUACUGGACACAUAUUGACGCUGAGGUGCGAAAGCGUAGGGAGCAAACAGGAUUAGAUACCCUGGUAGUCCACGCCGUANACGAUGAUGACUAGCUGUCGGGGCGCUUAGCGUUCCNGUGGCGCAGCUAACGCGUUAAGUCAUCCGCCUGGGG